CAGGGCCUCAUCCAGCCUGGCCUUGAAUGCCUCCAGAGAUGGGGCACCUACAGCUUCUCACGCAGUUCCAGUGCUGUUCCAGAUGGAUGGAUUGAUGGAUGGAUGAGAGACUUUCAGAUCUUGUCAGACUUCAUUCAGUGAUCCGAACUGAUCUAGCUGUAAAACCUGUGAACAAGAUGUCUGCCUUGUGCCCAAUGCAAUUGUAGUGGUCUGUUACUGCCAAAGGUACUGACAGGAGACACCAAUUCCUUCUCACAAAAACCUGAUGAUGGGACUGAUGAUGGGAAGUCAGCUUUGCCUUGGCUAAGGAAUGGAAGCCAGACUUUUUGGUUGCCCUGCAACCAAACUUUUAUC
ensembl:lncRNA